rnacentral:rRNA from 1 species
GACGAACGCUGGCGGCGUGCUUAACACAUGCAAGUCGAACGGUAAGGCUCCAGCUUGCUGGGGUACACGAGUGGCGAACGGGUGAGUAACACGUGGGUGACCUGCCCUGCACUUCGGGAUAAGCCUGGGAAACUGGGUCUAAUACCGGUUCGGACCCUGGUGUGGAUACUGUGGUGGAAAGUUUUUUCGGUGUGGGAUGGGCCCGCGGCCUAUCAGCUUGUUGGUGGGGUAAUGGCCUACCAAGGCGGCGACGGGUAGCCGGCAUGAGAGCGUGGACGGCCACGUAGGGGCUGAAGCACGGCCCAGACUCCUACGGGAGGCAGCAGUGGGGAAUAUUGCACAAUGGGCGGAAGCCUGAUGCAGUGACGCCGCGUGGGGGAGUACGGUCUUCGGGGUGUAAUCUCCUUUCACCAACUACGAAGGGGGUCUGACGUGAGAUUGAGAAGAAGCACCGGCUAACUACGUG